rnacentral:rRNA from 1 species
AACGCGAAGAACCUUACCUGGGUUUGACAUGCAAGUGACGUAUACAGAGAUGUAUAUUUCCCGCAAGGGACAGUUGCACAGGUGCUGCAUGGCUGUCGUCAGCUCGUGCCGUGAGGUGUUGGGUUAAGUCCCGCAACGAGCGCAACCCUUGUCGUUAGUUGCCAGCAAGUAAAGUUGGGAACUCUAACGAGACUGCCUGGGUUAACCAGGAGGAAGGUGAGGAUGACGUCAAGUCCGCAUGGCCUUUAUAUCCAGGGCUACACACGUGCUACAAUGGCCGGUACAGAGGGUAGCUAAGCCGAAAGGUAGAGCAAAUCCUGAAAGCCGGCCCCAGUUCAGAUUGUAGUCUGCAACUCGACUACAUGAAGAUGGAAUUGCUAGUAAUGGCGGGUCAGCAACACCGCCGUGAAUACGUUCCCGGGCCUUGUACACACCGUGUCGA